GCCCCUGUGGUGGAAUCAACAGGUAGACACACUGCGUUCAGAGCGCGGCGGUCCGGAAGGGCCAUGUCGGUUCAAAUCCGACUAGGGGCACCA
rnacentral:tRNA from 1 species